UUUUUCAAGAUAAAAUAAAGGCAACAAUAAAGAUGCCUUUCCUCUCACGGGUUCGUAGGGUUUUACAAACCCUGAAAAAAAAGAGACAAAGCUGAAAAAAUAACCCAUCUUUUAUUUCAUUCUUAUUCUUUCUUCGAAUUUACUGGAAACUUCUAGAAGAAAGGGGGGCCGCCAUGCUAAAACUAGGGUUUCUUUGUUACACUGGAUUUUCAACCUAGAAACUCUUCAAAAUGGCCUCCAACGUAGGAAUAAAUGAGAUGCCCGAUGGCGGUUUGAGAUAUUCAAGGAGGCAACUAAAAGUUCAAAUCAGCGAAGAGGAUAAUGAGCUUAAGGAACGACAGAAGAGGAGUAGGCGCACAAAACUCAUUUAUGUUUGACUCUAGUGGGCAUCAAUCUUGUAAUACCACCACAUUAUGUUUUGGUUGUGGUUUGGUUUAGAUCCACAUUUCUAGUGGCUUAACUUUGACUGUUUUCCUUCAUGAAUGUUAUUCGCCUCUUUUCAUCGGCGUGAUCUUAAUUGUAGGAAGUUGUUGUUUUCUUUUAAAUAAGUGUCUCCAUCUCUUUUAUAGGUAAGAAGAAAAGAAGAGGGAAAAAGAGCAGAAGAUUUAGAAAUAAAAUUGCAGAGUGUUUUGAGUUUCUUUUCA